rnacentral:snoRNA from 1 species
GUGAUGAGGGCUGGGUUGCCGAGCGGUGGCGAAUUAGGAGCCUACUGA